CCGAAGCAGUGAGGGAAGGGUGUGUGGUUCCUGGCCAGGGGUAGAUGACAAGUGUUGGUGUCAGAGACUAAACUCCUCACAGUCUCAGACAGCAUUUCAUCCGAUGCUGCCAUGAGCAACAAGUUGUUCUGCUGUGUUGUCGUUUGUCUCAUCCGAGUAGGCCUUCAGGAUGCUGUAGUCACACAGUUUCCAAGACAUAGGAUCUUGGGGACGAAAAAGGAAUUAACUCUACAGUGCUCACAGAAUAUGAAUCAUAUUUCAAUGUACUGGUAUCGCCAAGACCCAGGAUACGGACUGCAGCUGAUCUACUACUCAAAUGGUGCCAACACCAUUGCAAAAGGAGAUGUCCACGAGGGGUACCGUGUCUCUCGAAGUGAAUUGAAAUACUUCCCCCUGACCUUGGAGUCUGCCAGUACCAACCAGACAUCUGUGUACUUCUGUGCCAGCAGUGACUACACAGCGCUGCACAGCCACAUCCUCUCUGCACAAAAUACAGGCGAAGCAAGGAGGGAGGGGACACUGCCCUCAAGAUUCCUGAACCCAAGAUUCCACACGAGAUUGCACUGA